rnacentral:snoRNA from 1 species
CCCCUCUCAGAAUCGCAUCUGGAGAGUUUCCAGUUCUCUACCAGUUUUGACUAUGGGAGGGAGAGUCAAGCAGAGGUCUGUCCAUUCCAUUCCUAGCUUGGGAAGUGGCUAGAGAGUGGAAGGCCACCUGCUACAAGU